GACGAACGCUGGCGGCGUGCCUAAUACAUGCAAGUAGAACGCAGUGGCGAACGGGUGAGUAACGCGUAGGUAACUGCCUCAUAGCGGGGGAUAACUAUUUGGAAAGAUAGCCAAUACCGCAUACUGUGAGAUGGACCUGCGUUGUAUUAGCGAGUUGGUGAGGUAAAGGCUCACCAAGGCGACGAUACAUAGCCGACCUGUGAGGGUGAUCGGCCAACCUGGGACUGAGAAACCGGUCAGACCUCUAACGGAGGCAGCAGUAGGGGAUCUUUGGCAAUGGACGGAAGUCUGACCGAGCCACGCCCCGUGAGUGAAGAAGGUUUUCGGGUCGUAAAGCUCUGUUGUUCGAGAAGCGUUACCCACCGAGAAAGGGACGGCUAACUACGUGCCAGCAGCCGCGGUAAUUC
rnacentral:rRNA from 1 species